GUGAGAAAGAGCAGUGGGAAUACUGAAGUCAAAAGAGGGGCUCCUUGGUGGAGUAGAUAACCUCACCGCUACCACUGUAUGACCCCAUGCUGGAAUAUGUUAAUCCUGAAGGAAUGACUGAAACCCACAGGGCUGACCCACACUGGAGCAGGGAAAAGUGUAAAGAGGAAGCAGUGCUAGAGAAGACCUCUUGUAGACUGAACCCUCCUCCUGUACUGCUUGGGUGGGAAGAGGUUGAGGAGUCGUGGUUGGAGAACUGAAGCUGAGCCUGGGAAAGGAGAGGAGGAAAGGUGUUGCUUUAAUAUUUACCUUCUUCAUUCCCUGAGGGAUCGAGCAGCUGGGCACUGGAGUGCAGAGCCAGCACAGUGGCCACCUUCUGAAGGCAGACAGUUCCUUGCAGUAUGCUGUAAGAAGGUGUUUAAGAAGAAUUACCAAAGGUCAAGCCCUCAGAAUUGUUUGAACUGUAAGAUCUGCAAGCAUGGAAACAAACGUAUGAAAAACAAAACAAAACAAACAAACAAACAAAAACCUGGCUGUUCAGGGGUGAUGUCUGAGCUUUGCACAAUUUUGCUAUGGCUGAGUGAGAUUUAAGAAGCCUGAACCUGUGUUCGUGAAAGUGAUCCAUGACCCAGUAAAACUGCAAAGCUGUUGCGCAAAAGCCUAAAAUGCAAAUUGCAGUCUAUUAUGAUUUGCUCAGUAUCAGGAGUUAUCUAUUAAUUUACAUAAUGCAAGGGAGUCUCUUCUCUAUGCAGUCAUUCCACAGACAGCUCUUUCAGUGUGUGGCCUCCAAAGAAUAUUGUGUAAGAUAUAGGAGGUCAGAGCAAUAUUCCUAACUUCUUUGUAAAAACUAGAGCAGCAUCUUAUUCUACCUGAAACUCUAAUCAGUCUCAUUCACUCGACAAAAAUAUUCAUGAAUAUCAUUACAUUUAUUCUGUUUGACAUAACAAACAGUUGUACAGGAGGCCACAGAUGUUGGCUGUGGCAGGGAGUGAAUAGAGGAGAUACCCUGAAAUGAAUAUGUUCCCUUGCAAAGGUGAUUUCCUUUGGGCAAAAAUUCUGGUCUGACACGACAGACAACAUAGAUUGGAAAUAAAUAAAUAAAUAAAUAAAUAAAUAAAUAAAUA
rnacentral:lncRNA from 1 species